rnacentral:lncRNA from 1 species
CGGUUCCCCCGGGGCGCCGGAAAGCCCGGGGGGGCUUGGAGCGCCGUACCCACACGCCUCUCGCCAGCUCUCCCAGUGCGGGCGGAGGCGCCAGAUUUAAGAGUAAAAGGCGCCGUAAGCGGGAGAGGAGCGAGCCCAGGGCGGAGGCGAGACCGGAGGGCACCGGAGCCAGCCGGGGUGCGAGCUGCCCGGGGCUUCCCAGCCUCAUUCUCCCCGGAGCUGGUGUCAGCAUGGCCCUCGAGAGGCUCGGGGAAGCGCUGCGCGGCAUCCCCCCGUUGCAAAGCUCCCUCCUGCUCCUCCUCUGCCUCCUCGCAGCCAUCCACCUGGGCAAGCUCCUCCUGCAGCAUCAGCAGCGCCGGCGGCAGGGCCAGCGCCAGGCGCCGCCGGGCCCUUUCCCCUGGCCCCUGAUCGGCAACGCGGCGCAGCUGGGCA